rnacentral:lncRNA from 1 species
CCUUCUCUGGCGACUGAUUCUUCUUCCCUAGCGGGAGGCUGGCAGUUAGGGUUCAGGUUUAGUCUAAUGCGAAAUAUUUAUACUCAUAUCGUGUUUAUCUGAGUCGUUCAUCGCGUUUAAUCUCAACUGCUAGAUCGUGCCUAAGAAAGAAAUGAAUCUAGACUGUUCAUCGUAUUUGAUCUCGACCGUCUGAUCACGCCUAAGGGAGAAAC